GACGUAGGGCGCGAGCGUUGUCCGGAUUUAUUGGGCGUAAAGAGCUCGUAGGCGGCUUGUCGCGUCGUCCGUGAAAACCUGCGGCUCAACUGCAGGCUGGCGGUCGAUACGGGCAGGCUGGAGUUCGGUAGGGGAGAACGGAAUUCCUGGUGUAGCGGUGAAAUGCGCAGAUAUCAGGAGGAACACCGGUGGCGAAGGCGGUUCUCUGGGCCUGUAACUGACGCUGGAGGAACGAAAGCGUGGGGAGCGAACAGG
rnacentral:rRNA from 1 species